UGGCGGGACGGGGUGGAGUAAUGUCUGGGAAACGUGCCUGAUGGAGGGGGAUAACUACUGGAAACGGUAGCUAAUACCGCAUAACGUCGCAAGACCAAAGAGGGGGACCUUCGGGCCUCUUGCCAUCGGAUGUGCCCAGAUGGGAUUAGCUAGUAGGUGGGGUAACGGCUCACCUAGGCGACGAUCCCUAGCUGGUCUGAGAGGAUGACCAGCCACACUGGAACUGAGACACGGUCCAG
rnacentral:rRNA from 1 species